rnacentral:rRNA from 1 species
GACUACGGCCAUACCACUCUGAAUGCGCCGGAUCUCGUCAGAUCUCGGAAGCAAAGCAGGGUUAGUACUUGGAUGGGAGACUGCCUGGGAAUACCGGGUGCCAUAGGCU